GCUGGGCGUGGUGAUGUAAGCCUGUAAUCCCAGUGACUCAGAAGGCUGAGGCAGAAGGAUUGAUCACAAGUUCAGAGCCCCCCUCAGCAACUUAGUGAGGCUCUAAGCAACUUAUCAAGACUCUGUCUCAA
rnacentral:sRNA from 1 species